rnacentral:lncRNA from 1 species
GCACGCGGCGCAUCCAUCUAGGCUCGGGCAGCGCCCCGGCGCCGGACGCACGCGCCGGCUUUCGGGGUCGGCAAGCUGAGCAUGGUGUUAUUCGUGUAUCCCGUAGAUGCAUGUCUAUCUUGAUGUAGCAAGCUGUGUGAAGCGGCAAGUCACUUGAGGGCUGGAUCGUGUCUGUAGAUGCAAGCUUACUUGUUAGCUUUUUAAUCUUGAUGCAGCAUGCUAUGUGAAGCGGCA